rnacentral:rRNA from 1 species
CAAAAGCUCAAAUUUGAAAUCUGGCGUUUUCUUCAGGCGUCCGAGUUGUAAUUUGGAGGAGCGUCUUCGGGAGCGGCGGUUGUUCUAAGUUCUUUUGGAACUGGACAUCAUAGAGGGUGAGAAUCCCGUGCCUGGACGGCUGUCCGUUCCCAUGUGAAGUGCUUCCAACGAGUCGAGUUGUUUGGGAAUGCAGCUCAAAAUGGGUGGUAAAUUUCAUCUAAAGCUAAAUAUUGGCGAGAGACCGAUAGCGCACAAGUAGAGUGAUCGAAAGAUGAAAAGCACUUUGAAAAGAGAGUUAAACAGUACGUGAAAUUGUUGAAAGGGAAGCGCUUGAGAUCAACCUUGGCCCUUGGUGGGAUCCCUGCCAGGCUAAAACCCUGGCAGUGCCAUCUCAUCAGGUCAGGCCAGCAUCGGUUUUGACGGCGGGAAAACCGGUCAGGGAAUGUGGCUCUUUUUCGGAAGAGUGUUAUAGCCCUGGCCUUUGAUACUGCCAGUUUGGGACCGAGGACCGCGCCUUUUGGGGCUAGGAUGCUGGCAUAAUGGUCUUCAGCGACCCGUCUUGAAACACGGACCA